AGUAUUUAGUUAAAGUAAAUAGAGCUUUGGAUUUUAUUUUAUUUUUAUAUAAAGGGAUCCAAAAGUCUAAGUUUCUAACAUGCAUAGGAGGAAAAAACAUUGCUAUGAUCAUUACUAUCUUUUUCCUAUUUCUUGUUGUAAAGUACACCAGUGCAUUUGAUGGAUGCACUAAUUACCUUGAUUGUCCAGUUGAUUUAUGUAUCUCUCCACUUGUUUUGACGUGCCAUAAUUUCUUUUGUAAAUGCCUUUAACUGUUAAGUCAAAAAAUAAUAUCUCCUUUUCAUUUUGAAGACUAUAA